UGUCGCGUCUUCUCGCCAAGGCCCAGCCACCCCGCCCGCUGCUCGCCGUCGUGUCUCCUUGCCAAGGGCUGGCUACCAUCGUACCACGUUCGCCUCUCUGCUCCCGUCAAGUUCAGGCAUUUGUUCAGGCCCCUGCACCACAAGGAAUUGGUCAUGGAUGGGCUUAACAUUACAGGAAGAUUGAAGUAAUUAAUAAUACCAAGGCUUGAGAAGGCGGGUGAAUACACUGUUCAACCUUGGGAUCAUGCUGGCCGAAGAGUUCGCCUAGGCACACAGAAUGGCAGAUCGAUCCGGUCGUUCGUGGCAGCAGUAAGCUCAAUACGCUGGACAGCUGCAGCUUGCUUGGUCUGCCCAUAUGAGCAGGAAAAAUUUGAACCCUCUUAAGACUACCAGAAAUAGCUCAGGGUAUACAGUGAUAUUAAUAAACAUGCGCUAUUUCGUGAGCUUUGGUAGAAGUAAGAUCCUUUUAGAUGAUACACACUUAUUCAUGUAUGACUUGCUGCAUCCACUCCCCACAUUAUAUUUUUCAAUCAGUACACAUUUCAUUUUUAUUAAUUAAGAGACUGUUUUGGAUAAAUAUUGGAUUCAUUACGUUCAGAGAAAUGUUAGCUUAACUACCAGUAUUUUUAUACACUGAGAUUCAUCCUCUAUACAACCUUUAGGCAGAACUGUAAAUGGAUUAAACUACAUAUUUUUGUGAGCAGUUCUAAUCCUUUUGUUGGAUAACCGCUAACAGCCUAACAGUUGUCUUAACAGUAAAUCGCAGACUGUUGUUUCAUUAGCAUGCAGGAACAAAUGCUUCAAUCCUCUCAAAUGAUAUAGAGUAGUAUGUGCAUGCAUCCUGCAUGAUGGAAUGCUUUUUGAAGGGUGCCAGCUUGGGAAUAAGCUUAAGCAGGGGCGGAGCUGCGGCCGGUGCUACCCGGGCUGUAGCACCGGUCCAGCAAGUCAGGCAACACAGUAGAUAUCAUGUAUUCCGCCUAGAAACUGAAGCUUGACCGUACAGAAACAUUAAUCCCAUGCGUGAAAAAAGCUUAUGCUCGUCCCGCAAGCCUGCUCAAGCUCUGCCACGGUGAGCGAUCAAUCUCUUCUGUCCACCUCGUGUAGUCGUAUAUUGCUCCCUUGUUGCCGUAAAGCGUGUACUGCUUCCUGCCUUUCUCGUUCUACCACCAUGACCGUAUGUAUAAAGUACGAACAAAACCAGUGAAUGAAUGCUUGAUUUUUAAAUUUUAUCUAAAAAAUCUAGACGGUAGUAUGAUGGUAUUCCACAAUUUAAUUUUUGUGUCUGUACCUGCAAAACAAAACUGUUCUUUUUCUAAUUUUGGUUCUCUACUAGGUACACUAUUUAUCUUUUGGUGUCAAUUUUUUUUGGUGAAUUUUGGUUGAUUACUAGCGAACAAUUUGGUGUGUUUGGCUUGCCAAAUAUCGAUUUUUUCAGCAUGCCACAUGCUGAGCACGCCUCUUCCUCCAUUCCUAGCUCCGCCACUGAGCUUAAGUAUGAAGCUGAAAGCCAGAGAAGAGUCGAUGGAAACUGUCCUCUGGGUAUCAAAAAAGUAUUGUGCAAUCAGUGCGGAAGAAAGAAACUUCAAGCAAAGACAAUGUGGUAUCGAAGGGGCACAUAUACAUCCCUCGCAGGUGGCACAUGUUGAUGACUAGUUACUGAUUAACCCAAAUUCAUCAGCGCCACAAAACCCUGUUAUUGUUUCUGUGCCAGAGGUGAGGGAGACUAAACAUCAGAUGGAUCAAUGUUUUGAAAGACUAGACCACCAGGGGACUAGAAAUCAACGUCUCUCAAGCACAAGGCAUAGUUCUGCACUCAAGAUUCGAGAGAUGGAUCAUUGAGUUUUAGCUGAAUUCUUUGGUCAGAUCAAGAAAGAAAUGAAGUCCGGAGAUUUUUCUUAGGAAGAAAUAAAGUUUACAUUGCUAGAUUGAAAAAUGCAAUCUUGUAUUUGUCACAAUUGUGUUAUCUAU